ensembl:lncRNA
GUGAGUCGGCACGAAGCCCCCAAGAACGUUUCGCUGGUGUUUGUUCCGCGUUACGACAGGCUUCCUUCGUGCUGCAAGAAACGCGAUUGGACAGAAAACUCAACUCUCGGCAAGAGCGGCGCUCGUGCGAGAAGGGACACCGCCAGCUGUCCUUUCAGCCCAAUCCAAUGGGCAAACGCAGCGGGUGGAGCUGCGGGCGGUUGUUUCCGCCGUGCCCACCGCUGGAGGGGCGUGCUGCAGUGCGGCUCGCGGCCGCUAGGGGGCGCCCGACCGCCGCGGAGCUCGCGUGGUGCGCAGCAGGAGUUACGCAUGCGUGGAGAAGAAAGGAGAUGUGAGCAGGGCAGGCAUGCAGCCUUUGGAGAACUGCCAGUUGCUGCCAUGGAGAAUGAAGAGGGCACGUUACCCUCUGGGGCUGAGCCUCCCCUGGGCUCAUGCCUUGGUUUGGGAUGCCCCUCGGUGCAAGGCUUGAGGUGCUGAGCGAGUGCCAGCGAACAGAACAGGGAGCUGCAGUGGGACAGAGACGAGAGCAUUUGCUUGGAAGCGUUCUGCUGCUUUCCUGCCAGGUGUUUCUAAGAGCAUCCCCUGAACUGCCUGCAUUCCUGCUGCAGAUUAGAAGCACGUGGAGAUGGAGGAUAAAAGGGGCGUUAGCAAUUAGCUCUGGUGAUGCCUUCAGCUGCUGAAAAAGUUGCACUAGCGAAGAACUAUUAAUUGAAAUCCCCGGUUCAUACAGAGCUGUCAGUAAUGAAUGCAUAAUGGAGAAAGUCCAUUUAAUUUUUAAUUAUCACCGUCUCCCUCCAAACAAAUACAACGCGUUAAAUCUUCCUGUCACCUUCAGCCACGCAAAGGAUGUUUGAUGGAAGUCUUCAUUAACCCCAGGUCUGCUCAGGGCAUCCUGCCAGGCCAUUAGCUAGUUAGUUACAAUAGCAAUGACUGGCACUUGGCAUGAGAAAGCCCGGGUGGCCCUCGCCAGGUCCAGAACGUGGCAGGAAUUAACUCUGUGUGAUCAUUGCAGGAGGAGGCUGAAAUCCCUUGGCUGAGCUUUCUGAGCUGGCGGGGUCUGGAGCACAUCGUGCAUCUGAUUGGGGGCUGUGGGAGCUCAAGGAGACCCCGUUAAGUCUCAGUUCCCAGCUGAAAUCCUGGUUGGUUUGGGGGCCCCUUCCAAACAUGACCUCCGGGGGACUCCUGGCAGGUCUGCCAAAGCAGCAGCACAGUCUGUCUUCCAUAGAUUGAGGAGUAUGGAUGUGUUUAUGCUCCAGUCUGAGCAGCGGGACGUGCACUGAAUGAAGUACUUAAGUCCUGAAGGAGAGUACUGACACAGUGGCCUGAAUUCCAGCCUGUGCUAUGGGGUUUGGAUGUGGAGCAUAUUUAAUGACCCUAUUUAGGAUUUGACCAAGGAUCUACUGGAAGCCAGCUUGAGAAGAAACUGCCAUGGGCUUUUGGUGAACCAUAGCUGGCCUGGGAUUCCCAUUUCAGCUAAAAGCACAAGGCCUGUUCUUGGUCGGGUUAAUCCAGGUGGAAUCAUCUUGCUAAUGACCAGUGCUGUCGGAGGCUGCAUUCUGCUUUACAGGUGAUUUAAAUCAGAACCGAUUCUCCCAGAUUUGGAUGAAGUUAACAAUGUGAAGCUGAUGGAAGCUGGGUGAAAAAUCAGACCACGAUUAUCCGCUGAAAGCAUGAAUAGAUGCAAGCAAGCAGCUCUGACUUCCCGGGGGCAUUGGCUCAUGGGGAGCUGCUGGAACGUCGUGCUUGGGAAGGGUCUGAGGUGAGGGUUUACAGCUCUAAAAAGUCACCUUUCAACACCUGUCCCAGACGUGUCCUUACAUUUACUAUUUCUGGCAUCUCACUCUCAAAUGAGUUUGCCUACAGACAGCCUUCUGGGGAUUCAAUUAAACUCUCAAAUAAAAUAAACGCUAUCCCUUAGUAAGGGCUUGAAUGCUAAGCAGAGCCAUUAUUUGAACGAAAACGGGGCUGUAAGUUUCAGUGUUGUGUCCUCUGUUUUCAUCAGCUGGGGGUCAGAAACAAGUGAAGAUGGGAAAGCCCUGUUCAUUAACUCAGUACAUCCACCCUCAGAGCUUCUCUGCUGCUUUGAAGUGAGCAAAACACCUAUAAGCAUUUUGUUUGGCAGCACUCCUGCAAGUCAGUGACUCAGGGUGAAGUCACUGCAACAGCUCCUGUUCUUUCUCAGCUGAUAAACCCCCUGGAUAUGUAUUGCAUGGGCAGUGCAGUGACUCUGAGCCCUGGGCUCUGGUGUCAUUUACCUGUUGAGUGACCUGGGGCAAGUUCACAUCUUUGUUGUUGUCUAAUUCCAGUACUUGCUUGGUGUGAAGUGAUCUACAGGUCAUCCUGUGGAUGAAGUCUCAGUUCUUAGAAUCUUUAGUCCAGACUUGUUUAUUUUGGCCAUGGAGAAGGGCAUGCCUGGGCAUGUACGGAAAUUGGGUGAGCUGCUGCCACAGGGAAUUGUGGCCAGUCUGCAAUGGAGGAAUGUGGCCAGUGGAAGGAUCCCAAAAUUGAGAUCUCACACCAGAAACGUUUGGCGCACCAGGUCCAGAUCUUGGGCAAGAUGUUCCCUGAGAUGUGUUUGACAAUUGCAGUGCAGCUGCAGCUUAUGUGAAGUUUCUUUUGAACCUUAUCAUAAAUUCCAAUCUGCUGCAAUUUCUGGUUGAUUCCAUCUCACCUGAAGCUUGCUUUGCAGCUGAUCUGCAGGCACCAAUACAGGCCAGAAACAGUGGCCACUCUUUGAAGGCUGCUGGCAGCGUAAGCUGGAGUGCAGGAGUCAUCCUUCUGCUCUGCAGAGCACUGGGAGACUUCAGCUCUUGUUUGGGGCACUGAACUCUGAGAGUGAUGGAAUCCAAUUAACAGAGAAAACUGCAGAGAAGACUGAUGAAAUGAUCAAGAGGUCUGGAAAACUGUGGCCAACAGAGUAGAGGGAAAUAAUUGGAUUGUGUAGCUUAAAGAGAAAACUAAGUGAUAAUAAUCUGAGUGGAUAAAAGGUGGCUGCAGGAAGGGAGUGGUGCCUUCUUCACAUCUCCUGCAGCUAAGAAAUAGCAGGUGCAGUUUGCAACGAGGAAGAUCCAAAUUAAGUAUAAGGCAAACCUUUUCCAUGGCUUUUAUUGCCUCUUCCAGCAAAGGCAAAGGAAUGAAGACUUCAGGUUAAACAAACGUGUAGCAGGAAUGAUGUCCAGAGCUCCCGCUCCCAUGAAACAGGAGGCUUAACUCCAUAAAUAACACAGAUCGUUUCUCUUUUUCAGUGAUCCUAAGUACACAGGGGCUUAUUGAAACCCAGACAUAGCUGGCCAUCCACAUGCAUGCGCUUUGUUCUCUUCCAAAUACUUGCAUACAAAUGAUGCUAGAAGAUAGCAGACCUUCGUGAGGUCUCCCUGUCAGGUCCUCCAAGGUGAUUUGACCUCCUUAAUUUGAGCUCUUCUUGUAAUUAGCACAGCUGUGCUGUUCUUAAGGUUUUGGCACCGUGCAGCCAAUUGCAGUCUUAGCAGCUCUCUUAUUGUUAAGAUGCUAUUUUUUUAUUUAUAUCUCUUCGUCUAAGAGAAGCUAUGAUAAAAAGCUGCAGAGAUUUUUAAGCCGGCUUUGCUGCUUGUUGCAGCUGCACGCAGCCUGGGGUGCACCCAUUGCUCUGCGUGACAGCUGGAUGGGAACUGUUGAAUCAGGGCCUCAACCUCUGAUUGACCACCUGAGCAAGCACUGAGUCAGGCACGGAGCACAGGUGAAGGCAAUCCACCUGUGAUUGGAAGGGCUGGAGCCAGGCUGCACCUCUCCUAGACCCCAUUUAAGGGCUGACUGCUGUUGAGGAAGGAUCUGUUCCUUGUGAUUGAUCCUCGUGGAGUUUUUGUGAGCCUACGAUGCUGGUGGAUUGAUGAGCUCCUGAGCCAGCCAAAGACAUCCCAGGUCUGAGGCGAGCAAGGCAAGAGCUCCAUCCCUGUUGUGUCAGGCCAGAUGGAAGCAGUACUGGGCCAACACUUGCCAUGAAGUAAGAAUUUGUUUCUUUCUUGAUGCCAAGGAACAAUGAUACUAAAUGGAAGGAGGGGAAGAAAAGAGCACACACCUACAAACUGAAAGAGGAGCGGUUAGCUACCUUCUUGCAUGUGCUGGCUCUCUUUGAACACCUCCAUCACCACCUAAGGGAGAAUGUGGAGAGGUGCUUUGUCCACUGCAAUCUGUUCCUGGAUGGGACGACACUUGAAUGACUGGAGCAUGCCGGAGCCAGGUGAAUGAUGCCCAGGGCUUCCCAGGCUUGGAGCUGUUGCCAGCUGUUGGGUUGCUGCUCUUGGAUCCCUGUACCUGCACCUGCCUGGUUGCUGCUGGGAGGAGAUGUGCCUUGCUCAGAGAGCAGGUGAUGGCAGCUCAAGGCAAAGUACAACAGCGUAGAACCAACAAAAAAUGAGCAGGUUGAGACCUAUGUUGUGCAGGCAGGAUGCAGGAGGAGGCCAUCUGUGGGAGCAGUGGGACACGUGUCAUCCCAGCAAGGCAGCAAGACAGAAUCUUCUUCCUGCAAAACCCAGCAAACACCAGCGUAGAGAAAGGAAACCUCAGUCUUGAAGCAGAAGAUAAGGAGCAGAAUGACCUUGCAUCUUCCAUCCAUACACCUGAGGUUAACAGUCGAGGAACCUGAGGCCAGGUGGGAUGAGAGCGCACAGGGUUGGUGCCCGUGGCACUGCUGGACUCGGAGCUGCAGAACCACCAUGUCCUCUCUCCUUAUCAUCCUCCACAUGCUCCUUUUUGGGUAUUUUGCAGCACUUUGAGGCUGGGAGAAGUGGUGCAGCAGCAAUGACAACCAGGACAUUGUCCCCUUGGGACAUGCAUUGAGCGAGACCCGGCUGCCUGCCUUAGCCCUUGAAAGGAAGGGGUGAAGGAAAAUGGGAAAAGGAGAAGGUGGGAAGGAGAACGAGAGAGAAAAAUGAAUUGCUUAAAACUUCUAUUACUCUUCAUUACCUUCUGCUUUAUAAAUUCGAAGUCAAACCUGGGGGCUCCAGACCCCGAAAGAAUGGAAGGGAAACGUUCCCUGCCUGCCCCGCCAACCAGCUCGUUAAACUCCAGCCCUCCUGCUGCUCUCCAGUGAUUUAUGGAGAAUCAAAGCCAAAGCCCCACUUGUCUGUAGAUGGGAUGCUUGGAUUCGAGGUGUUGUUUCAAAGAAAAGUGAUGGAUCAGAACCUGGAGACCAGGUCCAGCCCAGUCCCCAGCAGCAGCCCUGACCUCUUCUCCACCACCUCCAUCCUCUGCAGGUCCCUCAACCUACUCAGCACCUUAUUUUGAAGGGAAGGAGGCUCUUAUCUGACCCGCGCUUCACAUUUCAAGGCCGCCACGAGCCUUGGGCUCAUAUUUUUCACACGUCCUAAAACAUCAUCCCUCCCCCGGCACAAACGUGCAUACAUUCCUUAUGGUCUGCUUCCCCUCAGGGCCCCACAGGCCUGAAGAGAUGAUAAAAUUUCUGUAAAGUAGGUGUUUGAGGCAUUUCCUAGCAGUUCGUGACCCCGCUGAAACCCCUGCGAGGAACGCAGUAGGAUGCUUCACAUAACUCUGAAAAAGGAUGUUUUGGAGCUAAUUGCUUCCAAACCAUCCAAGUGAUGAGAAAUCCAGUGCUACCAGCAGCUCAUUUCCUUUGCUGUUUAAAUACAACACCCUGCUCUGGGCUGGGCUGUCCUGGCCCAGGAUCUGGGCACUGCUGCUCACACUGCUCCUGCUGUGCCGUGAAGCUCUCGGUAGGACCAUGUCUCCUCCCCGCAGGUGUAAGGAUGCCAUCAGCCAGCUAUUACCAACUCUUGGCCAAAUUAAGGAGAUCAUGCUCCUUGACUUGACCUCUGAAAUGUGCGAUUUCCCAUUCAUUAGUCUUUUUCUGACUCUUCCUUGAACCUUCCCCCCCACCCUCCAAUAUUUCCAUGUCCAUUUUGAAGCACAGAGGCAUCACAGCCUUCCAGUGCAAAACUGUUCGCAGGCAUUGCUUGAUGACCUCCAUCUCCACAGAGCUCUCCUGAGUCACCAGUUACCCAUUCUCCAGCCUUCUAAGGGCUAGAUGGGAAUCCCUCACCCAACUUUCAGCUGGCCUGUGUUAAAUGUGAUGAAUGGGCUGACAUUUGACCAUAUAAAAAUACCAUGUUUACUUGACCCAGGGCUGCCAAGCAAGCCUGAGGCUCCACAUCAUUAGCUGGGGCUCUGCAAGAGUCACUUCUCUUCCCCUUUCUUUGUGUCCCUUUGAAAAUUUUUCAAUGAGGAUUUAAUGGAUUCUUCUCCUUUUCUUCCCCGAACCAUUGCUGGAGACAUUACAUGGGACAGGGUCAGGACCAGCCAUUUUGGGUCUCCUCAAGAAACAAGGCUGUUUGAUAUCAGUUCUUUCAGGACUCCGUUUAGAAAGCUAAUUAAAAACGCCAGCCAUUUAAUGUGCACAAUGUUGAUUUUGGAUGGCUCCUCUUCAUCCAUUACAACAGCCCGUGAUGCAAAGCCAAGCACUUUUUAGAAGUUUGACCAGUUUAGGAAUAAGCGUAAGGCCAGUGACAGCUGGCCUCCAGGAGACAGAUGGGCUCUGAGAGCAGGAGGAAUUACUGCGGCCAGGAGUCCAACCUCCUGAGUGACACAGGCUAUAAAAUGGCAUCCAUUAGGCUCCUUUGAAAAUCCCAAUGAUAAAUCUUCCUGGUCCAAUCCUUUCCCUCCACAGCUCCCCUGGAAGAAGUAAGGUUGCUCAGGGUGCUCAAUAGGAUGCUGGUAGGGCCAGCCUGGCUCUGGCCGUAUUCAGAUCUCUCCUACUGGUGCAGCAAACUCCCAAAAGCAUUCAUAGUUUCCAUGCUGCUAAUUUUAGGGCUUUGCUUUCCAGCACCCACAGACUUGGAGACACAGCCUGCUGCCUCGCUGCAGCUUACAUGUUUUCUAAUGGCCCCAACCCAGAGAUUUACACUAAGCCAACUCAUUUUGAAACCCUUCCAUAAAAAUGCCUUCUGCAAACAGAUUUGUUUCAUUAUCGUUGAGCUCGAAAGUGCCUGAAGUAACAAACAACUUCAAACUCCUUCAAAUUUAUCCUGGCACCGGGCUUGCACUUCAUUUAGAUGCUAUGUACCUGGGUGCGUGCCCUGUGGGGGACAGGCAGGAGAGGGACGGAUGGAGCUCUGUGCAAUGUAUCAGUGAUUAUGGUGCAAUAAAUAUUGGAUGGAGGAUCUAUGAUAACAUCUAUUACAGCUUUAUGAAAUAUUGAUAGCGUCUGAAUACAUAUUGCCUCCUGAACAGCUCGUUCCGGAGAUGUUUAAUGAAAGACAUCUGUCGUUUUAUCCUUGAAUCUACAUGGAGGCAAAAUUUAGUCUCCAUCCCCACUGUAAUCUCCGUGAGGCUUUCCAGAUCUGCGAGGAAGUGGCAUGAAAUGCUCAGGCUCACCUAUAUGGAUGGGUCUGUUUUAUGCACACACAGUCUUCCAUUUUGGGAAGAAGUUAAUGUUGUGCCUUUCUAGAAACAACCUCUUUGCAGACAGCUGGCUUUAGCAGGACCAACUUAAGGCUGCCAUGGCCAAACAGUGGGAGCAAAUGGGGCUCCCAGGAAAACCAGCUCAUCCGUCAGGCAUUCAUCCCUGGCUGUGCACGUAACCCUGCACACAGCACACACCCUGCGUGAACCCAACGCGCUGAUCCCUGACACAUGUUCACCCCAGAUGCCCAAUGUAAUCCCAAAUUAAAGACAUAUGGUGUUACUUCUCACCUCACAAGGUCUCCCCAGGCGUGCACAUGCAUGCAUACACACCAGCCCUCCACACCACUGAUCAUUUCAGUCUUUAUUCACUUUCCUCCUAACACCGCAAAGCCCACCCUGCUCAGGUCCUCCCAGCAUAGGAAACUGAAGCACGUGAUCUCCAGACAGAAGGAGCUAUCGCCUCCUUCACAUCCAAACCCAGAUUUACCAUCAUCCACCACCAUCUGGAGCAGCAGCUCUCGGCUCACAUGCUGUGCUUUGUCCCCAUCUGGCCUCACCAAGGGCAGUGUUCACCUCCAGGACCCAUUUGCUUGCUCUGUGGAUGGAAACACGUUUCUGCCUUUCUUUCCCACAGCCUCAGGUGAUGGGAAAGCCCUCCCAGGCUUGAGCCAACAUCUUAGAAUCGUGAAAUCAUUUGGGUUUGGAAAAGACCUUCAAGAUCACCGAGUCCAACCACCAACUUGCCCAAGGCCAUGGCCAACCCCUUGCGGUAAAGUGGCACAACAAAAUCUUUCUGGUUACCAGGCAUCACGUGGCUUCGUUCUCACACUGAUAAUUCUAAUUAUUCACAGCUCUGCACUGCUAAAGAAGACAGAGAAGGUAGGGGCAUCAACACACAGCCUCUCCUCUCCCCUGGGCAGAGCCUGCAAAGCUGAUCUGAGCCCACGUAAACCCCAGGCUGUAUCUGCAGGCCGCCUCCACAGACCUGCCUCUCACCCUGGCCCUGCUCCCACGCACUCACCUCGCAUAAAGCCACGCACCUGUGGUCUGAACUAGAAAGGAUGAACUUUUCCAGCCUGAGGGCUGACAAGCUGAGCCUCCUCAAUUGCCUCAGCAAGAAUGAGAAUCUCAGCAUCACCUUAUUUCCCAGUUUCACUGUGCUCAUAAAAUGCUUCUGCUGAACCAUGGGGCAUUCAAGACAACAUAAGAAAGAGAAAGCAGAAAUGACUGUGAGACCUCAGACGCAUGUUUUCUGCAGAUCAAUAGCCGCUUACUAGCAACACUUCCCCGGGAACAUCUUCCCCUCCUAUGAACUAUGUCUGAUCCACCCAGCCCAGCCACGGAGGAGUAAUCCAACACCACCACCCCCAUUUGUUACCACUUAGGAGAGUCUACUGUACUCGCAACAACAACACGUGGCCCUCCUCUGCUCUGAAUUAAUGAUGGGUGCGAUUGUGUUUCCUCUCUCAGCAGGAGGAAAACCAGCACCCGAGCCAGCCCUGUGCUCCAUGCAUCUCCUUCACCAGGCCUGGGGAGAAGCACGGAGCUCACUCCAUGCUGGAACGAAUUGCAGCCUGGAGCAGGUCUUAAAGAAAGGCAUGCAGGUAUGAACAUACUGCAGGUGAUGGGUGAUAAUCCGCUUUUGUUGGUUUUUUUUUCUGGUCUCAUUUCUUAGACUAAAAUGGGUCUUUAGCAAGAGCUCAGCUUAGCUUUAUAAGCUUAGCUUCUUAAGAAAUUGGCUUGAUUUUAUCACUGUUAUUUUAUGAAAAUGAGAGUCAGAUUUUGCCUAUUCCGGUAAAUUAUACCACUUUCUAGCCAAGGUUUGAGAACAAUUUUGCAAAUACCUUGAAAGCCCUUGUGCGGACAGUUCUUACCUAGCAGGGUUAUUAAACACCAUCUUCAGCUAAAUCAAUGUGGAUUCAAGUAGUACAGGAAAGAGACAAACUCGCUCCCCGCUGUUUAUCCUCUCCCUCAGUGAUUUCUGCAGCCCCAGAUUGGAGUAAUGCUCUCCGGGCUCUCAGCUCACCCAUCUCCAGCAGGGGUGAAGGCACACGGAUGUUCAACCUGCCACACACUGCUGGUUGGAGCUGCCCCUUCUCCACCCCCAAGGGAUCAUCCCCAGGCUCAGCCCAUCCCUCCCCUACAGCAGCAAACAAACAACCCUUUGUCCUUUCCCAUCCACCUUCCUUUCCAUCCCAGCAACAUAUUUCUUUCUACCUCCCUCCGUCAACCCUAUUUCAAUGGCAUUUCCCUUCCUGCUGCCAAAUGGAUGCUUAGGAGCGUGGAGACAGUAAAACAUUGCGCUAAUGUCCCUUGCUGAUGCAUAGACUCCUCCCAUUAUUGGUACAGCAGCAUCAGGUUAUACACCGUUAAUAGCCUUUCCUCUUGUUUAUAGCCUUGCUGGCACCAUUCCUGGAUGUAGCACCGCUGCUUUCCCCCCCAGCUGUGGGCUCACGUGGCACGCGUGCGAUGUGCAGCUCAGCACAUGGCGGGGGGCACCUCCAGCAACCAGCAUGGCACAAACACACAGCAGCAAAGCCAGCCAAGCUCAUCUCAGACUGGGCAGGGGUUGGGGAGGAGAUUAUUUAUUGAUUUAUUUUUUUAUUUAUUUUUGCAAAGUGAGUGAAUAAUUCAUAGGCGAACCAUUGACAUGAUAAAUUCCUCCACUUCUUCCCUUUAGCGAGUUGGCUGCGAACAACUUUCCAAUUCUGCUCCUCUGCGUUUUCAUUAUCCAGAAUUAUUCACUAAACAAUUGCUUGGAAUCAUUCUAGGAAGCAAUGCCUCUGCUGGGGGCAGCGACGCCUACAACGGCAAUGAGCCUUCCAGCACCAGGGUCUGCCCAACUGGGGCAGAGCACCGAGCUGUGCAGCCCGGUUUUCUCUGCCAUUAGAUGAGCAGAGUUCUGCAAAUCAGGUUUCCGCCGCAAGUGCUCAUGUUUACAAAUCAGCAGGAGCUGAAACUGCUGAGAUGCAGUGCUGGGUGGCACUGGUGCUUCCAGCAGCACUUCUGCCAACACACUCCAUCUCCGGUCCCACGGGACAAGUGGCACAAAGUCUCUCCGUUUCCAUUUCAGCUGCUGCAAACAAGCUCUGCCCUUCACAGAGCACUGCUGGCAGUGCACACAGACUCAGAACCCACUGCUGGGCUCCCAGCUCCACGCACUGCCUUUGAUAUUCAUGGGAGGCAAAAGAAAACAACCGAUGGUUUGCUUUUUAAUUUCAUGGGAAAUUUUGGAGGUGGUUUCUGCUCCAUGCUGCACUUCAUUUGCUCAUUCACAAGCUGACCCAAACCCCCUUAUGAACAACCGAAUGUCUUCAGCACACACAGCUCUGACUCCAAGUCCUUGAUAUUUAUCUGCCUGUGGUUUCCAAUACCUGAAACCUGGCUGACCCAACACAGUGAAUUUGGAGGAAGCUCGCCAGCUGAUGACUCCGACUGCCCGACAGGAAUCGUCUGGGGUGUAUUUUCUGGAUAUUUUAUUGCAGAUGAGACACCUGACACCAUGAGGUCAUAAGCAAUUUCCAGCUCUCUCCAAAUCACCCGGACGGUUCCAACCCCAAAGCCAACAACAUCAUCCAUGGUGCUGGAAAACUUUCCGUGCUGAUUGUCGGUCAUUUGCCACUUGUAACUCAGAGGGAGGGAACUGCUUCCCCCCCCCUUUGCCUUCUCAGGGAAAUCAGCCUGUGUUCUGCAGGCCAACCAGGCUGUAAAACCCACAGAUCGAGGGCUCUGCCUCUCUAUUUAUUGAGAAUCUUUAGUCCAGUGGCAAAACGACAGCGCUGUACCUGCAGUUCCAUCCUAGGUGGGCAGGAUAUUAACUUCUUUGGUCAUUGCUCUGAUUCAGCAUCUGCUUUCCCCGCAUCGCAUCCCUGCGUUUGGAUUUAGAUUAAUUCCUGUCACCAUCCCAGACGUGCACGUUUACGGAGCUGACAAACUAAUUUGCCAUAAGUGACAACGACCUGAUUUCUGCAAAAGUCAGAAUGCUGCCAAGCCCUCCAUUUAAACGUGCACAGACACGAAUUUCACACUGAGGAAACACAAUUGCACACAGACAAGCAGAAAUAAAGAGCUCCUGUGCAGGGAAACCUGCAGAUGUUUCCCUCCUUACAUCACUCCUGUGGUGCCCUGCUCCCACCCACCCACCUUGCAGCACUGUUGGCAGCCUGCAGCAUCUCCCCUUUACAUGCAAGGCUCCCCAUCUGCUUCCAUACCAAAAGCAAGCAGAGAGAUAUGGUGUGCUCAGACCCCAUAGCCUGCUCAGCAAAGGAUCAGGACAUAUCCGUGGGUCUGUGGGUACAAACUCAUUCCCCUGAAGAGAUGCAUCCCUGAUCUGCAGAAUAACACAUCUCUGGGACAGUGCAGCUUUCAUAGAAUCAUGAAGGAUGGAAAAGACCUCUCAGGUCACCAGGUCCAACCCCAACCCAUCCCACCAUGCCCACUAACCACGUCCCUCAGUGCCACCCCUCCAUGGUUACUGACCACCCCCAUGGAUGGUGACCCCACCACUCCCAGGGCAGCCUAUGCCAAUGCAUCACAGCUCUUUUGGAGAAGAUUUUUUUCCUAUUGCAGAAUUUGAGGCCGUUGCUGCAUUUCACUGCAUCCUGGAAAAUCCCAAAUCCAGUAAUGUCCUCCAGCCAUGCCAUUUGCCAUCAAUAAAUGGUAGUCCCAAUCCCCAGCACAGCCUGCUGCUUGUCUUAACCCAGAGCUGGGACAUAAUCUGGGAGCCAGUUUCUGCCUGGAAAAGUGAAGGUGGUUGAUGCAGAGGUGAUUGUUCCAUUCAUUUGGGGAUUUUUAACUGUGAGAACGAUGGCUCUGCCCUGAUGCCUCCAUUUCCCCAUUUGGGGCAGCUGAGCUGAGGGCUGAGCACCCAAUAAGCACAAGGAGAUCCCAUUGUGCUCCAUCCUCAUACCACUGCUUCUCCUCCCGAGAGCUCAGGACACAAUAGCACAAACAACUAUUUUACAGCCAGAGAACCUUAGGAUACGAGACUUGAAGUCCAGAUUUCAUUAUAACUAACCCCUACUGAUACAAAGAAUGGGUAAAGCCCUUUUGAAACGGCAGGACUCACGCUGUGCCUCUGCACAGAGAUGGCAGCCACCACCAGCUCUGUGCUGCAGGAGAGCUGGAACUGCCAGAACCAAUUCACCCUGUGCCCUGAAGCACCCACCAGCUCUCACUGCACACAGGGAGCAGUGAGGGCAGAAGGGGCUUUGAUGGAGGGGAAGUAGGGUAGGAGCUGGGGCAGCUGGAUGCCCCUCAGUCUUUCCAAAGACACCAAAGGGGCCCUUGGUCAAGUCCAUACCAGUUUCUCCAGCUGCUCAGGGGAGAACUGUGCUGUGUUGCUAGGUUUCAACUUGGGUUUAAUCCUCUCUUUUUUUUUUUUUUUUGUCAGAAAUUCAGGUUUGACACUGAAUUCAAAGGGAUGGGUGCUGCAGAGAAGCAGAGUGCAACCAGGAUGGAGUCAGUGGCCCACCACGCACAGAAGACUGAAGUAUUGAUCCUAAUUAUUACUGAACCCAAAUUAAGACAAAAUCCCUGUCCAUUUGCUGAAUGCAGUUCAUACUAUUCCAAAAGGCCACACUAAGCCCCAGCUCACAGUGGAUUUUCACAGCUCAAGCACAGUGCUGGGCACUCCCAUGGCUCAGGGUAGGAGGGCUCAGUCUGCCCAGGCAUCUCCUCAGCCCCACACCGAUGUGUUGGUACCUAGAUCUAGAGAGUUAGAUAACACAACACAGCAUCUUCAGAUUCACGGUAAUGUGUUGUUUAAGGAGGCCAAAACAUCAAGGGGGACCAGGCAGGACCAGGACCCUCAAAUCCCCAACUUCACUCCCCCCUCCCCCUCCACCAUCCUCUGAAACCAGGACCGCAAAUUGAGCUUAGCCUCUUCCUCCCCCUCCACUCACACCCUCACUCCUUGAAUUAAGAGGAAAGAAAAUGAACGCUGCAUGCUGCAUCCUGCAACUGAGGCACUGUGCAGCACCAUCCCCAGUGGAUGCAGUCCUCUGGAGACUACAAGAAGUCCCAGGGGGGCAUCAGCAGCCGUGGCACAGCAUCCGCAGCACAGCGGAGUACCACUGCUCGCUCUCCAGCCCUAUUUCUGUGUUCCAUGCCAGUUGGCACUGCUGAUUCUGUGGUGCUCUGGAGUACCCUUAUCUCUCCAGGAGAGGCUUUCACCACAGCCCUUGAGCACUAGGAAAUGGAGAUACUCAACUGCUCUACAUCAAUCAGAGGGGGAGGCUGGGAAGGGGAACAGCGUGUCCCCGCCUGUCGCUCCAUGUAAGCUCUGCCCUUCACUGCUGACAGCAGAUUAAUUCCCAGCCAAAGCACAACACCCUCCUGAUGGAGAGGGGAAGCCUUCAAAAAGCAAAGCCUCCCACCCGUGAGUGCCCUGAAGUGGGGGGCGCAGCUAACAGGCAGCACAGGAGUCCCCAGGACGGAGAGUGCUUGGACAACACUGUCCAUUAGUACCUGGGUAUGGGUGGUGCUGCAAACAGAUUUUGCCAGGAAGCCAGUAGUGGCAUCCCCACAGUGCAGCAGGUCUGGGAAUUUGGGGCAUCUGGAGAUGGUCACAGUGCAACGACAACAUGGUUGCGUUAGGGACCACCCCUUUCCCCCCUAGCUCUGUGGCUGGAGGCUGCGAGUGGGCUCCCACCAGCUCCUGCACCCACAGGGAAGCUUUUCCCCAGGCUGCUCAGAUGAGAGCCCAGGGAAAGGGGGAACUGUCUGCCUGUGCCCUGGGCAAGCUGGGCUGCAAUUUCUCUCCUCCCGCAGCCCACGGCACCAGCUGCCCUCCCAGGGGCUGCUCUCCUCCUGGCAUGCUGUGAGUCACGUCUCUGAUGUCACCUCUCCACGUCACUGGAGCUUGGAAAUGGAUUUAAUGAGCCCGUGUUUUCUUCAGCUAAGAAAAACCUCAAAGAGGCUUAUGCUCGAGCACCCUGAGGAGCCAGCAGGGCUCUCUGCAGCUGCCACAGUCCCCACAGGAGGACAGAUAGCUGCACAGUGCUCCAAAGCAGGGCGGUCAGCACCAAAAGCAGAGCGCCAGACAUGCAGGGGACAACGCAUCACAGAGAUGGGAGGAUGUUUGUCCACAAUGCGCCCUUCCACAUUACCACCCUCCUCAUGGGACGUGGCAGGUGAUGCCCUGCAAUGCCUCAUGAUGCUCACGGGGAGGGGACAGCACAGUAGUGGCACCGUGCCCACACUCAGAGGACCCAGCAGCAUCUCUGAGGGCUGCCACACAAUAAGCUGAGGUGGUGGCCAUUGCUCCUCAUGUUCUCCCACUCCCAGACACAUGUGCUGGACCCAUCCCCACAAACAUCUAUCUUAGGCCGCCCAGCAGCUUUUUUAACACCAGUCACAUUGGGGAUGUGAAUCCUGAUUCACAGCAGUAUAGAUUGAAAUGUGAGCCUGUGGUGUUUUCAGAAGAACAAGUCCUUGUAAAGCAGAAGGGAACAAAAUUCAUUAUCAAAAUCAAGGGAAACGAGGAACAUUUGUUCUCUUUUAUGAAGGUCACUAAGAAAGGAAGCCCUACAUGGGGUCCCUGAAAAGCCAGUAGUGUAUGCAGUCAGCAGACAGAGGGCAUCUUCUAUUAAUGAAGGUGCCUCACCAAAAACACAGGCAUCAUAUAAAUUAUCAGAUAAUGAAAUUCCAGUUAAUUUGCUGCCUGGUCAGCUACAGCCCUCCUGCCAUGCUCCUGAGCCCAGCCAAUAACAUUAAGAAAGAAUUACCUUGCUACUAGGGCAGCUGGUGGAAAACCACAUCCCGAUUACUCGAUUCAGAAAACAAUAUCUUCUCCAGGACAAGAGGGGUGGAUGCUGCAGCCCCAUGGCCCUCCACACUGGGUUGACUACACAGGGACAUGUUCCCAACUGAUUCUUGCAGCCCUUUACCUUUUAGCAGCUUUGCUACCAGGAUCUCUUGAUGGGAUCCUUUUGCCCAGUUGCUCAUGGGCAUCCCACCUCACCCACAGCUCCCUGUUCUCUCCUGGGUUUGUGUCUCCUUACCAGAACCCAGAAGAGCAACCAGAGAACAAGGAGAUGGCAUCCACCCCCUUUGCUCAAGUAAGUUCUUGAUCCCAUGGGUAGAAAGAGACUUAAGAAGGGGAAGUUUGGGGGAACCUUCCCCUUCUAAAUAGGCUGUAGUGGUUGAAAGCAAAGACAAGGCUCAGGAAGAGGUCCUACAUCCUCAACAUGGAGUGGGUUUCAAGUACAAACUGCAUUAUAGCUCCUUCCAUUCUCCUUCUCCAUCUGCUGCUCCAAACUAUCAGAGCACCAAGAAUUCAGCAUGCGCCAUGUAAUUUUAAAGCCAUUAUGUAAGCUGCUCUCCCCUCCCCACCUCUCAAUGUCUCCAAUUGGUGUGUCAGAAUGUAAUUAGCUUUUGAUGGGAUGUUAAGAUUUCUUGAGCUCCCGUGGAGAGGUAGCAUGGGGAGAGGCGAGGCAGCGGAUUGUGAUUGUCACUCCCCACAUAAGUGCUCGAAGACCCUGGAAGACUCAUUUACAAAAAUGUAAAAUAAAUAAAUAAAUAAACCUAAAAGCAGCAGACCCAGUAGGCUUCAGCUUAAUUGACUGAAUUUGUGGGUUAUUUAUUUAUUUUUUUACCUCCGCUUGGUGAGAAAUGAGAAUUAACUCUCUCAUAGCCAACGAAGGAGCGCCAUGCUGUGGCAACGGUCAGGGCUCUAUUGCACAUCCCAGUUGGAGAGGCUGGAAGCACUGAGCUGUUGGUUCCUGCCCUUCCAAGCAGUGCCAGCUUUGCUGCUACAACCAACUGCACGAGGACUCCUCCACCAGAUUCAUUACUGAGUCCUCCAGCCCUGCACCACAAAAACACCAGCCCUCCUGCCAGGGCACCCAAGAAGCAGAAAGGUUUGGGCAUGGCCAAGUGUGCUCCCACAGCCCAAAGGUAACACUUGGAAUCCAGAUCCGUGAGUGUUUCGGGGCUAACAGACCCAACUUGAGGUGCUUGUAAUCUGCCAUGGUGCUUUUACAAAAACAAGCUCCUCUUGAUGUCUUGUUGCCAGCCUCCCAGUGCCCCAUACCACAGACCAGUGCUCUCAUGGUCAUACCACACACUCAGACCUUACUUCACACCCUUUCCCCAAUAGCCGACCCACUUGGAGGUACAGAACGAGGCAGGCAAAUCCCCCAGAACAAGUUUUCCACCAUCUGGCUGGGCCUGAACUUUCACAAGAGCAUCUGCCCCAGCCAACAAGCAUUUACGUGCCUACAGAUGGUGCUCAUAUCACCGAGCAGUAUGUUUGUCUACACAUUGACCCUGGCCCGAAGCCCACUGGAGUCAUCAGAUGCUUUUCAUUAACUCCAACAGGCUGUGGAUGGCAGUUUGGUCAGUCUCCACUGGUGCAGGCAGAGGCACUCAAACGAAUCCUGCAGGAUGCUCAAACGUGUGUGCCUCCAGGUCAGCCCAUAGCAGCUUUCCCAAACACAAGCCUGCCACAGACUCCUUCCAAAUGCACGUGGCUGGAUAUAAAUACGCCUCUGUCUCUGAAUUAGGUGAUGAUGUGAAACACAGGCACAUCCAAUACAAUAAUGAGCCAUUCCCAUCAAAUGCCAAUUCAACUGGAUAAUGGGCCAUAUUGAUUGCUUCGAGGACCAGACCAAUUUCACUUGUCCUUUUAAUGAUUAUUAUGACAUUAUCUAUAUUAUUUCUGCUCAGAAAGAUUAAUUCCCCAUUCCCCACCCCAAUCACUCUGGAUGCGAGGCCAUUCAAGUCUCCAUUCUGAACAGAAGCUGAGGAGACCUCUGCAAGGACUGGACUUAAUUCACUUCUGAAGUGUUAUCAGGCAAUUGGAGCUUUUUUCUCUAAUACUGCCACUGGCAUUAAUGGAAAGAAAACAAUAAAUGUAUCUGGUCACCAAGCAGUCAGCCUCCCCUUUCGUAGCUCUACUGACAUUUCUGUUUCCAGCCCAG